CGCUCUGCUCCGGGGUGUGCUGAUGCACUGAGAUGCCAACCGGUCCAUGCGCUGCAUGGGCCAGGCGGCGAACCCGACGAACUUGAUCCGGUUGAUACCGGCGGAAGAAGAGCGGGACCCUGAAGC
rnacentral:ncRNA from 2 species